GCAGAGGGCACAGUGCACCCGCACCUGCAUGCAGCACCGCGUGCAUUACCUGAGCCCGCAGCAGCGCCCGUGCAGCAGCGCUGCAAAGAGCUUCACCUCCUGCGUCUGCUUGCGGGGUGUGCUGGAAACGUAUCACUGUGUGUGCGUGUGUGCGUGUGUGUGUGUGUGUGUGUGUGCGGAGGGAUGUAAAUAUUGACGCUGCAGCCAAUCGACAGCAUUUGCUUGCGGUGCUUGUGUUCUCGGGGAUGAGAGGUGAUUAGCUGGGGAAAAAAAAAAAAAAAAAAAAGUCAGUUCUCUUUGUUUUAGGGGAGAACGAUCGGCGGCUGGUCCAAAUUCAUUAGAAUAGGAAUGUUUGUGAAGGCUACGUGUGUACUUGUGCAUUCACCUUGCUUAGGUUGGCACAAUUUGCAUGCAGCGCCUUAGCACACAGCUCAAUUAGCCGAGGAGCCCUUUAAGAGCUGUAUUUCGGCACGAGGUGUGCACUUGUGUGAGUGCCCCUGCACAUGCUGGUGUGCACACGCGCCAAGUUUUUUUUGUCUCGCACCAUGCAGGUGGAGUGGGGGGGUGUAGGACUCUGUGUGUGCGUGCACGCAGCACUUUUGCAGUUUGCAAGGCGUGUGACAUCCGUGCAAGGAGCUCCUGCUUGCAAGCAAAGGGAGCAAUCCGCUCUGCGUGGAACAGGAGCGUGCACCGGAGAGCGAGGGGCAGAUCUGUAAGCCAGAAAGGAGCCGGGUGGCAGCGUCUUAAGGAGAGAUCAGUGCUCUGAUGGAACAGCGCUGGAGAAAUCCUUCCUCUGGUUGGGAAGUUGCAGUUCCAGCACGGCGCUGGCAUUCGGCAGAGCAGGAGCGAGCGCGCUGGGUUUGCUGCGAUGAGGUCAUCCCGAGCAAAGAUAAGGGAAGCGGUGCAUGUAUUAACCUGAAGGGAGCGGUGAUGUCAGCAAGGGGGAAGGAAAUCAAUGACUGCCAGGUCCCCUCGGGUGCUCCAGGUGAUGCCCCAGUUCACCUUCGCUUGCUUCUGCGGGCUGCAUGGCUUCUGCAAGAUGAAGAGGAAGAAGGAGGAACCCAGCGGGGAGCAGGAGACGGCGGUGUGAGCAGCAGGGACAGGAGUGGGACACCGGAGCUGCUGGGGGGCAUUGGCUGUCCCCUCUCCUGUCACCUCUGCAGGGAUCCCUGUGCUGCGGAGACAUCUGCCUGGCCAGGAGGGAGCUGA
rnacentral:lncRNA from 1 species